rnacentral:rRNA from 1 species
UACGUAGGGUGCAAGCGUUGUCCGGAAUUAUUGGGCGUAAAGAGCUCGUAGGCGGUUCGUCGCGUCGGCUGUGAAAUCCCGGAGCUCAACUCCGGGUCUGCAGUCGAUACGGGCGGACUCGAGUUCGGCAGGGGAGACUGGAAUUCCUGGUGUAGCGGUGAAAUGCGCAGAUAUCAGGAGGAACACCGGUGGCGAAGGCGGGUCUCUGGGACGGUACUGACGCUGAGACGCGAAAGCGUGGGGAGCGAACAGG